AUGUACACUAGUUGUUGGGGUGCUAGUCAUCUCAGUAAUGCAGCUAACGCAUUAAGUGUACCGCCUGGGGAGUACGGUCGCAAGAUUAAAACUCAAAGGAAUAGACGGGGACCCGCACAAGCGGUGGAGCAUGUGGUUUAAUUCGAAGAUACGCGAAGAACCUUACCUGGGCUUGAUAUCCUAAGAACCUUUUAGAGAUAAGAGGGUGCUAGCUUGCUAGAACUUAGAGACAGGUGCUGCACGGCUGUCGUCAGCUCGUGUCGUGAGAUGUUGGGUUAAGUCCCGCAACGAGCGCAACCCACGUAUUUAGUUGCUAACGGUUCGGCCGAGCACUCUAAAUAGACUGCCUUCGUAAGGAGGAGGAAGGUGUGGACGACGUCAAGUCAUCAUGGCCCUUAUGCCCAGGGCGACACACGUGCUACAAUGGCAUAUAGAAUGAGACGCAAUACCGCGAGGUGGAGCAAAUCUAUAAAAUAUGUCCCAGUUCGGAUUGUUCUCUGCAACUCGAGAGCAUGAAGCCGGAAUCGCUAGUAAUCGUAGAUCAGCCAUGCUACGGUGAAUACGUUCCCGGGUCUUGUACUCACCGCCCGUCACACCAUGGGAGUUGAUUUCACUCGAAGCCGGAAUACUAAACUAGUUACCGUCCACAGUGGAAUCAGCGACUGGGGUGAAGUCGUAACAAGGUAACCGUAGGAGAACCUGCGGUUGGAUCACCUCCUUUC
rnacentral:rRNA from 1 species